AUUGAACGCUGGCGGCAGGCUCAACACAUGCAAGUCGAGCGGUAACAGAGAGAAGCUUGCUUUUCUGCUGACGAGCGGCGGACGGGUGAGUAAUGCCUAGGAAUCUGCCUAGUAGUGGGGGAUAACUUGCCGAAAGGUAAGCUAAUACCGCAUACGUCCUACGGGAGAAAGGAGGGGACCUUCGGGCCUUUCGCUAUUAGAUGAGCCUAGGUCGGAUUAGUUAGUUGGUGAGGUAAUGGCUCACCAAGACCGCGAUCCGUAACUGGUCUGAGAGGAUGAUCAGUCACACUGGAACUGAGACACGGUCCAGACUCCUACGGGAGGCAGCGGUGGGGAAUAUUGGACAAUGGGGGGAACCCUGAUCCAGCCAUGCCGCGUGUGUGAAGAAGGUCUUAGGAUUGUAAAGCACUUUAAGUUGGGAGGAAGAGCAGUUAACUAAUAUUUGACUGUUUUGACGUUACCGACAGAAUAAGCACCGGCUAACUUCGUGCCAGCCGCCGCCGUAACAC
rnacentral:rRNA from 1 species